GUCGGGAUAGCUCAGCAG
rnacentral:tRNA from 2 species